rnacentral:rRNA from 1 species
AGCGAACGCUGGCGGCAGGCUUAACACAUGCAAGUCGAACGCAUCCUUCGGGGUGAGUGGCAGACGGGUGAGUAACACGUGGGAACGUACCUCUUUGUACGGAAUAGCUUUUGGAAACGAAAGGUAAUACCGUAUACGCCCUUUUGGGGGAAAGAUUUAUCGCAGAGAGAUCGGCCCGCGUCUGAUUAGCUAGUUGGUGAGGUAAUGGCUCACCAAGGCGACGAUCAGUAGCUGGUCUGAGAGGAUGAUCAGCCACACUGGGACUGAGACACGGCCCAGACUCCUACGGGAGGCAGCAGUGGGGAAUAUUGGACAAUGGGGGCAACCCUGAUCCAGCCAAGCCGCGUGAGUGAUGAAGGCCUUAGGGUUGUAAAGCUCUUUUGUCCGGGAAGAUAAUGACUGUACCGGAAGAAUAAGCCCCGGCUAACUUCGUGCCAGCCGCCGCAGUAA